UACACAAAUUGCAGCUUCCAUAAUGUUAAGCACCCUCCCCUCUCCCCUCUGCUUAAAUACCUUUUUCUUUGCAGGAAGGUGACUUCCUGAGGCUGGCUGAGCCUGAUGGGAGUCUGAAGCUGCAGAGAUCUCUCUCCUCCCUCCUCCUUCUCUUCCAGCUGCCUGCUGCCUGUGUCUUCUCUCCCAGCUGCAUCCUGGGUGUUCUCAGC